rnacentral:tRNA from 1 species
GAUUAAAUGGCUGAAUUUAGGCAAUAGAUUGUAAAUCUAUUUAUGAGGGUCCCUCUUUAAUCA